AGCAGCCGCGGUAAUUCCAGCUCCAAUAGCGUAUAUUAAAGUUGUUGCAGUUAAAAAGCUCGUAGUUGAAUUUCGGGAUCGAAUUGUUGGUCGUGCUUCGGUACGCACUGGCAUUAUCGGUUUCUACCUUCUGAAGAACCGCGAUGUCAUUAAUUUGGUGUCGUGGGGAAUCAGGACUGUUACUUUGAAAAAAUUAGAGUGUUUAAAGCAGGCUUACGCUUGAAUACAUUAGCAUGGAAUAAUGAAAUAGGACGUUUGAUUCUAUUUUGUUGGUUUCUAGGAUCGACGUAAUGAUUAAUAGGGAUAGUUGGGGGCAUUAGUAUUCAAUUGUCAGAGGUGAAAUUCUUGGAUUUAUUGAAGACUAACUACUGCGAAAGCAUUUGCCAAGGAUGUUUUCAUUAAUCAAGAACGAAAGUUAGGGGAUCGAAGACGAUCAGAUACCGUCGUAGUCUUAACCAUAAACUAUGCCGACUAGGGAUCGAAUGAUGUUAAUUUUAUAAUGACUC
rnacentral:rRNA from 1 species